rnacentral:rRNA from 1 species
GACUGCUAGUCGAGUGCUUCAGCACGAGGCGCGGCGAACAGCUCAGUAGCACGUGGCUAAUCUGCCCUUAGGACGAGAAUACCCCCGGGAAACUGGGGAUAAUUCGCGAUAGGCGAAGAACACUGGAAUGUGUCUUCACCUAAAAGACCCUGCGUAUUGCUCGUAGAAGUCGCCUAAGGAUGAGGCCGCGGCCGAUCAGGUUGUUGGUGAGGUAAUGGCUCACCAAGCCUUUUACCGGUGCGGGCCGUGGGAGCGGGAGCCCGGAGAUGGGUACUGAGACAAGGACCCAGGCCCUACGGGGCGCAGCAGUCGCGAAACCUUUGCAAUACACGAAAGUGUGACAGGGCUAUCCCGAGUGCCAUCCGCUGAGGAAGGCUUUUACCCAGUCUAGAAAGCUGGGAGAAUAAGGAGAGGGCAAGUCUGGUGUCAGCCGCCGCGGUAAUACCAGCUCUUCGAGUGGUGUGGAUGUUUAUUGGGCCUAAAGCAUCCGUAGCUGGCUAGGUUAGUCCCUUGUUAAAUCCACCGAAUUAAUCGUUGGAUCGCGGGGGAUACUGCUUGGCUAGGGGACGAGAGAGGCAGACGGUAUUUUUGGGGUAGGGGUGAAAUCCUAUAAUCCCAGGAAGACCACCAGUGGCGAAGGCUGUCUGCUAGAACGCGCCCGACGGUGAGGGAUGAAAGCUGGGGGAGCGAACCGGAUUAGAUACCCGGGUAGUCCCAGCUGUAAACGAUGCACGCUAGGUGUUUGGACGGCCACGUGCCGUUCUAGUGCCGCAGGAAGCUGUUAAGCCUGCCGCCUGGGGAGUACGAUCGCAAGAUUGAACUUA